GACGAACGCUGGCGGCGUGCUUAACACAUGCAAGUCGAGCGGUAAGGCCCUUUCGGGGGUACGACGAGCGGCGAACGGGUAAGUAACACGUGGGUGACCUGCCCUCAGCUCUGGGAGUAAGCCUGGGAAACCGGGUCUAAUACUGGAUAUGACUCCAUGACGCAUGUUGUGGGGUGGAAAGCCUUGUGCGGCUGAGGAUGGGCCCGCGGCCUAUCAGCUUGUUGGUGGGGUGAUGGCCACCAAGGCGACGACGGGUAGCCGGCCUGAGAGGGCGACCGGCCACACUGGGACUGAGACACGGCCCAGACUCCUACGGGAGGCAGCAGGUGGGGAAUCUUGCGCAAUGGGCGAAAGCCUGACGCAGCGACGCCGCGUGAGGGAUGACCGGCC
rnacentral:rRNA from 1 species